CCCUGGCUGGCUCAGUCAGUAGAGCAUGAGACUCUUGAUCUCAAGGUUGUGAGUUUGUGCCCUAUAUCAGGAA
rnacentral:tRNA from 1 species